rnacentral:lncRNA from 10 species
UACAAAUUCUAGAAGAUAACUUUGGAAAAACACUUCUCGACAUUGGCUCAGGCAAUGACUUCAUGACCAAGAAUCUAAAAGCUAAUGCACCAAAAUAAAGAUAUAUAGAUGAUAAUUAGUUAAACUAAAAAGCUUCUGCACAGCAAAAUAAAUAAUCAUCAGAGUAAACAGACAACCCACAGAGUGGGAGAAAAUCUUCACAAUUUAUACAUCAGACAAAGGACUAAUAUCCAGAAUCUACAAGGAACUCAAACAAAAAAUCAAGAAAAAACAAACAAUCCCAUCAAAAAGUGGGCUAAGGACAAAAUAGACAAUUAUCAAAAAAAUAUAUACAAAUGGCCAAAAAAAAUAUGAAACAAUGCUCAACAUCACUAAUGAUGAGAGAAAUGUAAAUCAAACCACAAUGUGAUACCACCUCACUCCUGCAAGAAUGGCCAUAAUCAGAAAAUUGAAAAAAAAAAAAUGAUGGCAUGGAUGUGGUGAAAAGGAAACACUUUUACGCUGCUGGUGGGAAUGUAAACUAGUACAACCACUAUGACAAACAGUGUGAAGAUUCCUUAAAGAACUAAAAACAGAUCUACCAUUUCAUCCAGCAAAUGGAUCAAGGUAGAUAUCCUGGGUAUCCACCCAGAGGAAAAGAAGUCAUUACAUGAAAAAGAUACUUGCACGUGCAUAUUUAUAGCGGCAUAAUUUGCAUCUGCAAAAAUAUGCAACCAGCCCAAAUGCCCAUCAAUCAAUGAGUGGAUAAAGAAAAUGUGGCUUAUAUACAUACCAUGGAAUACUACUCAGCCAUAAAAAGGAAUGAAACAAUAACAUUUGCAGCAACCUGGAUGGAAUUGGAGACCAUUAUUCUAAGUGAAGCAACUCAGGAAUGGAAAAUCAAACAUCGUAUCUUCUCAAUCAUGAAGAAAUACAUUGAAAAGAGUAUUUUAUUAAAAUUCAUCUGGCGGUGACUUGGAUAGCUUGAGGAUAGCCUGAGCUGCCAGGCACAAUGGGCAAAUGCCUCAACUUCCCUCCAGACCUUCUCUGCCUCUGAUGUCCCCCAUCUCAGUGGAACGGCUCCUUCAUCCUCGAGUGGCCCAAGGUCUGCCCUGGCAGUUUCAUCUCUUUAUUCUCCUUUAAAGCCACCAUUUUACUCUGUUCUCCGGAC